UACGUAGGGUGCAAGCGUUGUCCGGAAUUAUUGGGCGUAAAGAGCUCGUAGGUGGCCUGUCGCGUCGGCUGUGAAAACUCGGGGCUCAACUCCGAGCUUGCAGUCGAUACGGGCAGGCUAGAGUUCGGCAGGGGGAGACUGGAAUUCCUGGUGUAGCGGUGAAAAUGCGCAGAUAUCAGGAGGAACACCGGUGGCGAAGGCGGAUCUCUGGGCCAUUACUGACGCUGAGGAGCGAAAGCGUGGGGGAGCGAACAGG
rnacentral:rRNA from 1 species